rnacentral:sRNA from 1 species
CUUUAACAAUCUGGAACAAGCUGAAAAUUGAAACGAUACAGCGAAACCUGCCUUGAUGGCGGGAGUUGGCUGUAUCAGAGUCUCUCAAAUAAUCGCAGCGCGAGGUGGUCUUGCUCUUUAUGAAAAAGACACCUUCGG